UGCAUGAAUCGUGACGUCACGCGUCGACUGCUUUGAAAUCAAGCAGAGUCAGUCGCGCGGCGAACUUCGUGGCGUGUGUUUGUCUUUAUUGGGGGUUGGUUUGUUGGUUUAUACACGUACGUGGGUGUUUAUUUAGAAAAAAAAAAAAAAA